rnacentral:rRNA from 1 species
AGCGAACGCUGGCGGCAGGCUUAACACAUGCAAGUCGAGCGCCCCGCAAGGGGAGCGGCAGACGGGAGAGUAACACGUGGGAACAUACCUUUUGGUUCGGAACAACUGAGGGAAACUUCAGCUAAUACCGGAUAAGCCCUUACGGGGAAAGAUUUAUCGCCGAAAGAUUGGCCCGCGUCUGAUUAGCUAGUUGGUGAGGUAACGGCUCACCAAGGCGACGAUCAGUAGCUGGUCUGAGAGGAUGAUCAGCCUCACUGGGACUGAGACACGGCCCAGACUCCUACGGGAGGCAGCAGUGGGGAAUAUUGGACAAUGGGGGCAACCCUGAUCCAGCCAUGCCGCGUGAGUGAUGAAGGCCUUAGGGUUGUAAAGCUCUUUUGCCUGGGAAGAUAAUGACGGUACCGGGAGAAUAAGCCCCGGCUAACUUCGUG